rnacentral:rRNA from 1 species
GACGUAGGGUGCGAGCGUUGUCCGGAUUUAUUGGGCGUAAAGAGCUCGUAGGCGGCUCGUCGCGUCGACCGUGAAAACCCGCGGCUUAACUGCGGGCUUGCGGUUGAUACGGGCGGGCUAGAGUUCGGUAGGGGAGACUGGAAUUCCUGGUGUAGCGGUGAAAUGCGCAGAUAUCAGGAGGAACACCGGUGGCGAAGGCGACCCGCUGGCCAGCGACUGACGCUGAGACGCGAAAGCGUGGGGAGCAAACAGG